AACUAUUUCUGAUUUCUCUUCCAGACAGCAGAAUGAUUUUGUGGUGCAUCACUUCCUCACCAACUGCAAGGCAAGAAUAAGACCAGUCUUAUAAUCUUUGAAGGCUCAAGAGGGUAUGAUAAUGAAUUAUUUGCUUGUACAGUGCCCUGCUGCAGUCACAUUUAUCUUGUUCUGCUGCUUCUUCUUAAAAAAUAGUACAGUCCAUGAAAGAGGGACUCCUGCUUAAUGGCAAUGACAUUGUCAAGUUUUUAAAAUGUUGUUGCUCUGUGCUGGUGUUUCUGAGCAGUUGUGGGAAGUUCAGUCUUGUGUGAUAUCAGGACGAUUGCUAUAAACAGUUGCUCUCAAUCACCCAGGCAGUGAAAGGAUAUGUCAGGGCUGACAUUAAAAGAAUCAGAAAAACAAAAAAAGUAGUAGUAAUGAUAGUGAUGAUGACGAUGAUGAUGAUGAUGAUGAUGAUGAUGAUGAUGAUAAUGUGGGGGAGAAGGCUGGGAAAGGGGAACCUGGCAUUGGUUACAGAAACAUGACUCAGCUUCUGUUCAGUAAACUCUCUGUUCAAGCCCAUUACACAACAAAUUUAGAAGGGGCUUUCAUAUUUUUGCAUGGCUUCUCCACUCUGAUUUCCUGUUUACAGCAGACUAGGACAAAAACUUGUCAGAAUAGCUGGAGAGCUGGGCCCGGACUGCAGGGGAGCUCCUGCCAGAGCAAGUUUUGCAGGAUUUAGAUCCAGAGAUGUCCUGGCAUUGUUCCAGCCUUUAAUAAUAAACACAAUAGUUUCACUCCAGCAAUAGCUGUAUGUUCUGGUAUGCACACACCAGCUGUGUUCCUGCUCCUACAGUCCAAGUGUUUUCCCAGACAGAAUACUUCAUAAAAUGAAAAUAGGCUUGUGCUAUUUACAAGGCCUAUUAUUUUUAAUGCAUCUUUUUGUUUUCUAAUAUUUUUCCUUAUUUCUAAAUUAAACUCAUCAAAACUAUUAAUUUAAGAAUGUAGUUUUUAGAAAUUUUUCAAACAUAUGUUUUGUAAAGGAAAAAAAGUGCAAAAAUAUAUGUGCAGGCUUGCUUUGCAAUUUAUUAAGCAAAAAUUACCAAUACUGGACAUACCAUUAGAAAGCACAUAAUAAAAUAAAGGAAAAUGUGAAUCUGUCAAGUUUACCUCCAAAAUUUCCUUUACACAUACCAAAGAAGUUGAAAUGGUUAAUAGGUAUAGGAACCUCUGCAAUAAUAGAUUAAUCCAUUGUUUCUGCUUUCAGUGUCUAUCCAAGUGAUGUGUACAUAUAUAAACCUAGGAAACUAGGAAAUUUAACAUGCAGUCUUUUAAUCUGACUUCUAAAACCUGUGUUCUAUCCAGUUACCAUCAAUAAGCAUUUUAAAAAUAUAAAAUAAAAUAAUAUUUAAAAAAUAUAUUUUUAAAUAGAUUAAAUAUAAAAAAUCUACAUAAAAUAAAGUGUACAACAAAUUUAUUUUAUAAAGAAAUAAAUUUUCAUUUUAAGGCUUCAGAAAGUUUUUGUAAUAUUCAUAAAUGGAAGAAGAAGCAAAGCAAUUUAAAUAUGGAAAAUAAAUUGCUGGUGUCUUUUUUUUUCCUUGAAAAACAUUUUGUUUUGUAAGCUUAAAAUUAUUUUUUUUCCUGUCAAGUUACUUGAUGCAGUGCUUUAGACUAGAAUAGCUGGAAUGUGUUCUUGAUUAUAGCAAUUACCUGGUCUUCCACUAUUUAAAAGGAAGAACAAGGACUUGAAAAGCCAUAUUGAAGGAAAUAAUUUGGGUAGCUCUCACUAGCAAUGAAUCCCUUCCCAAGUGCUCCUUGUAUGUUUCAUUCACAUGAAACUUUAUUCAGAUCCAGAACUAUCUGAAGCUUUCCUUAACACUUGAUGGUCAUGCUGUAAGAUGAGGGAGAUGGAAAGUAUGUGAAAUAUAUUGCUAUUUAAAGCAUGCACAGCUUUGGAAGCCUGAAGACUACUGAGACCAUAGCAAAAAAAGUAGAGAAAAUAAAGGGGAGAAAGUGUUCUUCAAAAUUCUUAAUAUAUUAUGAAGAGAAUAAUGAGAUCACUAAGAUGAUUUUAAGUCUCCUGCAUGCUACGACUGUCAUGGCAGAAGAAUUACUUUGGAUUCACAAGCAAAAACGUAUGCUUAAUAGAAAUUAUCAAAGUGAAAUUUUUGUUUGAUGUAACUUAUGGCUGCAGCAGUUAGAUUGCAAAAUGACAUUUAAACUGUAUCUGGCUAUAAGUAUUACUUAUAAAUGCUUCAAAGACACUGGUCACCUGGAGCAAACUCAGAGAGCAAAUUAUAGAUUUUGAGUUCUAUCUUGUCCCUAUUUGAGUCCAAUGCACACAGAAUACUCCCAGUAAGAGAGACUUUCUUAGGCAAAAUUUUUUGUUGAAAAUUUGGUUUCGAAUGAAUACAAUAAAUAUUGCCUAGUUCUUAGAGUUCUUCUUUAAUAAGAGAGAAGAAGGAAGGAAUCAAAGAAAAAAAUCCAAGAAGGAAUCAAGGGAAAAGAUGGGCACCAAUGUGGCCCUAGUAAAUGGAAGACUACAACUAUAGUUUUUGUUAGGUUAAAAAGGUCAAAAAUACAACAAUAUUUGUUGUAAGAGUUAACCAUAGCUAAACUUUCCUCAUGAAGGCAUUGAGAGGUAUUAGGAUGGAGCUUUGGAAUAUCUGUCUCUCUUUUUCAUACAUGGGCAAUAUACACUCCACUCAUGGCUCCAAAGAAAAGGGCAUCAAAACAUUGUAUUAGAAACAUAACAAUGUCCUUGCAAGUUGUAAGAUUUAGUUGUCACCUGUUCUAUGACCACUGUUUUAGGUAACUCAACAGGAAAUUGAAGCACUUUGAGAAAACAUGUUGUGUGAACACAGGGCAACUGGAGACUUGCCUUCCUUGCUCCAGCAACCUGCUCUUAAGUAAACAGAGGAGGAGUAUUUCUGUGCACAGCAGUGUCUGAGGCUUGCAGGAAAAAACAAUCUUCAAAGCAGCAAUCCUCAGUGUUGCCUAUGCCUUAGCUGCACUAAAUGACCUAUUUUUCUCUACCCAAGUGCUAAGCUGGGGGUGGUGGACACCACUGGUGCCCUUUCAGAGUGAUGGGACAAAUAGCUCAUUGGUGAGAGCAUCAGUUACUUUAGAGAGCAAUGGAAACUAGAGCAGUGUCUAUUAGGAGACAAUGUGGGUGUCAGAAAACUGAGCACAAGCUGUCUGGUAAGACUUUCAGCUUUCUGGAAGACACAGGGACUUACAGGACAAAACUGCAUGUAGUAUAUUUUUCAGUAAUUGCAAAGUAUGUUUUGCUGAAAAAAAAAUUCUCUUAAUGUUAACUAAUAUGUUACUAAUGAAUCAGAGAAGCUCCUCUGAACCUGUCCCAGUCUCUGCAAAAUUAAUCUGUGGACUCAAUGACAUAACCAUUGUGUGUCAGCCUGCCAUCUAUUAGGUAUGCAGAGCAGUUGUGAGUGCACCAGUUGUACCGUGCCGGAUCUGUGAAGAUGCAAGCCCAAUGGAGCAUUCUGCAGCUUUCGUUGCAGAACUCUAAGGCUUGGGAUAAAGAAAUCAUGAAGCAAAACACAAGAAUGCACCCAUAUAGUUUAUCUUCAGUAAGUUGCAUGAGAUAGGCAGUAUUCCUUAAUUUUUUCAGUGUACCUACCGUAUUGGAUGCUUUGCUCCUUUCACCUUAGAAGUAAGAGUUUAAAUUUCAUAACUGAAUUAAUAUAAAACUUUUAGCAAUUUCCUCCUCAUUGUUCUAGGGAAGUGAUAUUGGGAAGGCUGAUGCCACAAUUGAAUGACUGUUCUCCAUGAUUUAAGAGUUAGAACCUUUCCUCUAAAAAGAAUGAAAAGAAAAGAUGUUUUUGAAAUACCGUUUUGAUGAACUGAGGGAAAUAUAUGUCAAUUUUCUGAUAAAUAAAACAGUGCCUGAAAAAACAUACCUAAUUAAAAAUCAUUAUAUUUAUGCUUCUCUGUAUCCUAAUCACAAGCUGAUGAGUUGAAAAACAUCAGCAGAAUGUCAUAAUUGCCAGAUUCUGCAUCUGGAUCUUUGAGCUAUUUGACAGACAUGUAGCAUACAAAAUAUCUAGGCAAGUUGCCAGUGACUGUUUAGAUGUUGGUGUAGGGGAACAUAUAAUGUUCUUCACAUAUCUGUGUCAUUCUCUCAGAACUGUCUUUUUCUGCUUGUCUUUGUUUGUGUUGACCUUGUGUGGAUUGAGACAAAUACUCCUCUACUAGGUUUUUUCCAUAAAAAGAAGGUGACUGAAAAGGCUGAAAAUUUCUUUUUCUGCAGGUUUACUGAUGCAGCAGUCAUGAAUCAGAGCUAGAUGAGCUCAGUUAGAGACAAAAGUAAUUAAAAUCCGUGAACUACAAGGAAAUCAACAGAAUGGAAGAAAUUUCCUCCUUUUAAUUCAGUAAACAUUGUCAGUGAGCCACAAAUCCUACUUUUGAUGAUAAUUUUUGCCUUUUUUAUAUACUGUAUUUAUGUAAUAUAAUCCCCUCAAAAAGAAAGAAAGAAAGAAAACAAGUUAGGUAUAUGUAUUAUCAUGUAGAAGCAAAUUGUACAUUCAUUAAAUUAUUUGUACAGAACUGAGCUUGUCAUAAUCCAUAUAAGUGCAUAAGAUGUGAAAAGACUGAGCCUAUUAUUUCUAUUUCUUUAACAAGACCAAUGGCUUAUAUGCUAUUUAUUUAAAUAAUUGCAACCAUCUUCUUCCCCCACCCUUGCUUUUUCCUUUUGGAGAGAAAUAACUCCUAGAAAUAACUAGUGUCAGCUGUGAAUUCUGGAGGAGAAGCCAAGAAUAUAAAACCCGUGCAUGUGUAGACAGAUCCGACCCUCAGUGGGAACAUGGUGACACAGUCUCUUUUCCCCGCCCUGGACAGCCUGUUGUCGGCAGCACCUUUUAGAGAUAGCAGCCAAGGAACUUUCAGACCAGGAGCCAAGGGACCGGUUUUCCCUGCAGCUGCUCCUCAGAGUUAGACAGCCCUUGCUGAGGAUGAGGCUGCACUUUCGCUAUCCCUGCUUGGAGAGGAUGGGCCUGGAUCCUGCUGAUGAGACUCAGUGCUCCCACAGCACCGCUAUUAAGAUGGUUGCCCAUGUUUGCAUUGCUAGAGUGUUCUGUGCUCACCCACAACAUUCAAAUGUUGCUGAGUGACAUAGGGCUAAACUUAAAGCAAAAAGAUUGUACCUGUUGGCUCUGAGGAAAUUAAGUAGAGGCACCACAACAUGUUUUCUUGCUAUAUCAUUCUGGCUAUGUCCAUGGCUUAUAUUGCUUCCACUGAUAAAUCCCAGUAACUUACAGUUUUCAGCAUGCUCCACUGCUCUUAGGAUUUUCCACUCUGUCUUGUAACAACGCUAGCCUUAAGGCUUCUUGGGGAUCUGGGUUGCAAUUUAUGAAAGUGAAACUUUUUAAAGGUCACAAGGGUGCUUGCUUCUUCUGUCAACAACUUGCCUUGCAAGAGGGCUGGAAAAAAGUGUUUGGCUCAAUUCCUGGGUACAAUCCAGAGCACCACAGAAUAAUCAAGUAACAGCAUUUUGAAACCCCUUUUUAAUACUGUCACCAUGUUUAAAAAAACCCACCUUCUUAUAAAGCUGGGAAACAAAACAGCACAUCCAAGUCUAAACUGUCCUUGUCUGAACUGGACAGAUCUCUGUUUUGUGUAAUCAGUCAACAGAUCUCUGGAUCACAAAAAUCAAAACUGUUCCUUUACCCACAGCCCCUUUUGUCCAGGUCUGCCUGUGUUUGGGGCUGUGCAUGUCAUCCCUGUGGACUGACACAGGUAAGGGAGGUAGAUGCACGUUGAUGGGGAGUUUGCUCUGUCAGAGGUUCCAGAAGGGCCUCUCACUGCUUUCAGCAAGGGACUUGCCUGAUGCAGUGCACUUAGAAAAUUCACAUUGCACUACUGAGCUAAAAAUACCUGUGUGCUCGUCAGAGGUGAGAUGUCUGGCUUCUCUCUUGGUGCUGUUGGGACACUCUGGAUAGAGGGGACAGUUGCCAGUUGCAAAAUUUGUGUUUCUUCCUUCCCACUUCACUGCUCUUUAAUUGUAAUUACAGCAACUUUUUGUCCCUUUCAGACCUGCUCACUUUGAGCAAAGGGUAAAAGAAUGAUUUGUUGGAGUAUUUUGUAUUUAUUAACUAGUUGCCAAAAGAAUAAGGUUUAGUACAACAGAGCUUGCCCUUCACAGUAACAAAUAAAACAUGUUGCUUGUACUCUGUUUCAACCCUAACCACGCUGUCAAGUGUAAUAUUUCUUGUUUCUUCUGGUUGUGCCAGAAACCUAGUUAGUAUUCAGUCAUGCAGUCAUAGAAAAGUACCAAAUAUAUGCCAAAUAAAUUAAUGUAAUUUAAAUUUACUUUCUAACUGCAUAUGGGAAGCAAAAAAAAUAUAAGAACAAGUGUAGGGUAGUAUAGCUUUCAAUAGAACAGUGUUUCCCUAGCUUAGCUACAUGAAAAUGCUGCUUAUAAAGCUUUUUAAAGAUUAAUUUGUUUGUGGUUUGUAGUAGUUUGGUUUUUUGGAGGUAUUUUUGGGGUGGAAGGGUAAUUGUCAGACAGAGGUAGGAUCUGUUAUCUCCCAGGUAAAAAGAUACAAGUUCACUGCAGUGUACUCUGAUAUUAGUGGUUCCUCUGAAUGCUUUUAACCUGUGAUAAAAUCACCUUCAAGGUAAGUCAAUUUUCAUUCAUUCUGAAAUAAUUCACAAUAAUAAUGCUGAAACACCUUAAAUAUUUCCCAUAUUGCAACUGCUUCUUUAUUCACUCAUACCAUGAAUAAAAUCAGUUUUAUACAAGGAAUUCAAAAGUCUAUCUAGUCAGUACUCUUAGGUUUUUGUUCCAUAAAAUAUGACUGGGGGAGAAAGACUAUAGAGUAUUUUCAAGCUUAUUCUGAGAAGGUAUUUUAUGUCAAAAAGUUGGACAAAAUGGGUUUUCUUUGAGGAAAUACAGGCUUAUAUGAGGCUUUAUAGUAGUAUAAGUUAUAUGCACAGAAAAGAAGUAGGAUAUUUUGAGGCAUUAAAAAGUUUGAAUAAAAUAUAGGAAGAGGAAGACAGCAAUUAAGACAAGAUUAUUACUUCCUUUGAAUUACUUUGAACUAUGAGGGGAAAAAGAGGGAAAUCAGAAAAAAAAAAAAAGUAGAAAUUUUGCAGCCUUUCAUUUUAAUUAAUUUACAUUGUUCUUCUUCUGCAUAGGCCAGGUAUUGUUUUCUUCCUUUGUUUGUUUGGGAGGUCAGUAUUACAUGGUACAACUGAAGAACUGCUUUGUUACUUUAGAGCUGUGCAACUCUGUCACCAUAAACAGUGUUGACGGACUAAAACAAAAUGGCCAACAGUAAAACUGUCUUUCCUGUCUUAUCCUGUUAAAUGAUAGGGUAGGGGACCAUUUAGUUUAAUUUAUAUGUGAUAAUUAUAUAGCUGUAAAAUAUUGCUGCAGGCUUCUCUUUGUUUAUAUUGCAUAUUUAAUACUGAAAUAAUUUUUUUUUUAAUUAGAGCUGCAGUUGUUAUCAUGAUCUAUUUUCUUGGAAUUUUAACUAGGAAAUAUGGGCUACUUACAGAAGAAAUGGAUCAGUCUCAACAGACUUGAAACGACUGAGGAUAGACACCCCAAGCAAGAAUGUAAAUAAUAAAAAAACAAUUUAUUAAUCAGAAGCCAUUACCUGCUGAAUACUUGACACCUUUUACAGAAGGUAGUUGUCUUUCAUCCAAGUUACGACAAACAUCUCAGGCAAGGUGCCUGAAGCAAACUCAAAGGCAGCGUCCUUCUGAACUCUGAAUUCCCCAUUAGGAGCUGUACUAGGUGAAAGGUACACUGUUCAACUUGGAUUUCAUAACAGCACUUGGACUCUACUCAGAAGCUACUGCUCUGUCAUAACAUCCACUAGGUAGGGAGAUCCAGCUCUAGAAAUAGCAUGCUGUAUCCAGGUGGAGUUCCAGGAGUGAAUGACUGCUGGGAGAAGAUAUAGGUUACUUUUCUGCUAUUUCCAGGAUAUGAUCUGGAGGUCAAGGAGGAAUGUGCUUGACAAUGUGCCUUUGCAAGUGACUUUCACUAAUAACAUCAAAAUCCAGGAGCUAAAAUCCACAGGAAUGGUCAUACAGCGCAAAUGCUGGUAACUCUUAACGUGUCUGUUGAUCUCUGAAGGGGGACUCCACUCAAAAUCCACAACAUGCGGGACAUCUGGCCUCUGUGUCCUCAGGAACAGCCAUCUUCCUGCAGUACUAGCCUAUGAAGAAUCUCUGCUGGUCAUUUGUCUCUCUGCAACAGUUGCCCAUAGCUGUGUACCUAGUUGCAGGAAUUGGUUUAGAUCAGCAGCAUCAGCCCAAGCAAAUAGGUUUUCCUGUGGAAAUGCAUUGCUGUGUUGCUGCCCAGCUUCACAAACUACUUCUGGAGACCCUUCAUCGCUCUGGUAGUUGGACUUCGUGCUUUGUAGCUGUGCUGUGGAAAGGUAAAGUAGUGAAGAUCACAGCAAGGUAGUGGUCCAUUUCUGUAAAACAAGGGAAGGUUUAAAUCUCGCAAGUGGUUAAAAAGUACUCGGUACAUGUUUUAACUAGAUAAUUCCCAGAAAAUAUCUUCAUCCAUAUUGCAGCAUUGCUUCUCAAAGCUCAGGUGCUUAAGCAGCAUUGCUUCUCAAAGCUCAGGUGCUUGAGCUAUUGUAAAUUGCUGCUGCUCUGUACACUUUAAUGAAUGGCUGAGGUGGAAGAGCCAUUACAUCCUGGUGUAACAGGCUUUUAUGCAUUUACAUUUAUAUAUUUACCUUUAUAUAUAUUUAUAUAUUUACAUUUAUAUUAUUUAUAUAAAUAACCAUCUGCAUUUAAAAAUUCUCAAGGUCUCAAAUAGCAAAACUUUGAUAAUUUCCAAAUUUAUAACACUGACAAUACAACUAAGUUUGUUAGGUAGAGGUACUGGUCUGAAAAUGUAGGAUUCAAGAUGUUGCACAGAACAGCUAGCAGAGUGUCCCUUUAAUGGUGCUAAUUUAAAUUCUAACUCUGUAAUGUAGCACUAGAAGGGUUGUGCAGAUAUUAAAAAAAAUUAAAAAAAUAACACAUAUAUAUAUAUAUAGUCACUUAGCUAUUAAGGAAUUUGUUCUGGUUUUGACUGGGGUAGUUAAUUUCUGUCACAGUAGCUAUUAUGGGAAUGUGUUUCAGAUUUGCACAGAAAGCAGCACUGACAACACAGACAUGUUCUAAUUACUACUGGGCAGAACUCACAAUGCAUCUAGAUCUUUCCUGCUUCUUGAAUCACCCCAUCAGCGAGUGUGCUGGAGGUAGAUAAGGAGCUGGGAGGGGAUACAGCUGGGACAGCUGAACCCCAGUUGAUCACAGGGAUAUUCUAGGAUAUGUAGUAUCAUGCUCAGCUUGUAGAGGUGGGGGAAGAAGGAAGUGGGAGAACAUUUAGAGUGAUGAAGUUUGUCUUCUCAAGUCACCAUUAAGGCAUGAUGGGGUCCUGUCUUCCUGGAGAUGGCUGAACCCAAGCCUGUCCACUGGAAAUGGGGAAUGAAUUCCUUGGUUUGCUUUGUGUCUUGUGGCUUUUCCUUUACUAAACUGUCUUAACUCUUGAGUCUUCUCACUUGACUCUUCUGACUCUCCUCCCCCACCCACAGUGGGGCACUUAGGGAGAAGCUGCACACUCUUUCUUCACUAGGAGAGGUUAUACACAGUAACAGAUCUCCAAGCAGAUUAGCAAAAUGACAACCUUUGUGUUUCUUAUUGGUUUUACCCUGAACUUAGGCAAAUAUUAUGGACAGUGUUAUUAAUAAGGAGGGAAUUAAUUCUUAAGUCUGUCUGAAUUCUUCACCAAAAACAAAAUUAAGCUCAAAAUUAACCUGAAAUGCUCUAUUUAGAGAGGAGGUCCUAUUGUUUGUAUUAUGUAAGGUGUUGGAUCGAUGUUUAUGUUGCCCAUGCUAGCAGCUGCAUCCCUGAAGAUACAGUACUGUGGGAACAUUGAGGCCCAGUACCCCAAACACCAACAGAGGUGCACAGGACAGGCCUGCCACUCAAGCCUCUGUUCUUCCCACAGGUCAAAUCACAUGCUGAUCCUGAAGGACAAUGACAAUCUAUUUUGCCCGUGCAUAGCAGACAGGACAUGCUGCAGCACCGCCACACUGCUGGCACACAGAGCAGACUCAAAAACAUUGCACAGGGCACACAUUUCCAUAUCUCCUUACUUCCAAGGACAUCUUCUACACCCCAAGUCAAGAAACUUCAUGUAAAAGUUCCAGCUGCAAACUAGACCUUUAAAGUCACUGCCCUCUUUCCUCCUAGUACCCCAAUAUUUGUGUCACCUCCUCAGGCAAAGGACCAGAUACCUCAAAACAGGGUCACUGCAGCUGUAAUGUGAUACAGAGUCCUAAAAAGGCAUUUCCCAUGUGGGACCUGGCCCCAUAAGCUCAGUCAUGUAAAUAAAAGAGAUAGAAUCCCGAAACUAGACUCAGUGGUAUAGUUCUCAGUAGUACUCAGUGGUAUAGUUCUAGAAAUAGUUUUUUUCUAUUUUUUGAGAAAGCAACACAUGUUUUCCUGCAGUAAGUUCCUGUAUUAUGUGAUACUUGUGUUUUUUUUUAUUUUACACAUAGAUACAACAUUUAAAACCCUUUUUUUUACAAAAGUUUAUUUUCCACAUGGAAGAGCAAUAGGAAAAAUUAAACUGUUUUCCACAUACUGUUUUCUUAAAACAAGAGUCUACAAGGACAUAUGCAGCACCAAAACUAAAAACAAAAAAAAGUACAAACAGCCAUACAAUAUAAUCUAUAAAGCAAACAUUUAAUAUUGCACUUUGUUUCUCUAAUGUUUGGAUUUUACUUACUUUUUUCCUAAUUCAGAUCAGAAUUCUCUAUCAAAUACUGGGUUUCAACUGUGAACCUCAGGUUUUAUAAUGCUGAGAACUGACCGAUAUUUAUGGGAGAGUAAUGCCUCUGAGUAAUUUAAACUGUAAGUCUUUAUUUGAUAAGCUUAUACAAUUUUUCAUUCUAAUCACAAAGGCUGUAAUGCCAAGCCAAUUACUAUGACAUCGGUCAAUCCUGCCUCAUAUGCAAUUUUCCAUUGUAUUGUGGUAAGCAUUUAAUGCUAUGUAUAUCAGCAAUUGUUCCCUAGUCUGCAAAAAGAACAAAAAAAGGAAAAAAAAGUAAAACCACCAAAUGCCCUUUUAUACCAACGAUCCCAUCAGCUUUAAAAAUUGUCUGGUUGGAGAGGGUAGAGGGAAGGGACAUCCACAAAAUUGGCCUAGUAGCAUCAUCCAAUUUCCUUCUUGCCAAUAUUCCCGUUCAAAGCCCAAACCUUUUAACUGAAUCACUUAAAACGCGACUCAUUUGUAUUUUAUCACCCUGUUGUCAUUUUUGAAACAUGAAUUAUCUUUCAUGUUCUCAUAAAGGCCACUUAUGGAAAAGCCGAUUUUGUCGCAUUUAUGAAGCCUUAAAAACAAGGCAAAGGUUUUUAAAAAUGAGCACCAUGCAGAAACACCAGCCUCUCCUCUCCCACUCUCUUCAGAGCUUUUUUAUUGCACAAGGAGUUAGGUAUUUGAUGGAUUAGAUCUCGAUUUGUUCAAAUACUCAAGACCAGAAUAGUGUUCAUCAGUGGUUUGUGUUCCACAGUUUCUGAAGAGCAAAGCUGACUUCCACUGUACAUCUGCAGCAUCUAAGCACUGGUAUUUGUUAGCACAGGUAAUAGCUCCAUUGCACUCUUUUCCCUGGGGCACACUUAAGGGCAAGUGCUCUUUCCCUACGGUUUUGUUGCAUUCUGGAUGAAUACAUGGUAUAAUCCAGAGUUCUGUUUGCUUUAAAGCUCUUGAUAGUGCCACAGAAGAUGCAGUUAUCAAAGCACUUCCACCUAACUCAUAUAUAAGUAUGGCUGGUAACACUGAUCUUUCUUGCUUUAAUUAUACUUCUAAUCUUGUACAGUAUCAUAAACCCUGAAGGUAAUGCAAAGUGCGCAAACUGAGCUCUCAGCAUAAAAGAAGCUUUUCUUGCAGUUUGAAAUAUACUUUCUACUAGACUCAUCAGAUACAGCAUUUUUGGUGAUUAAGUAGCUAUA